AUUGAACGCUGGCGGCAGGCCUAACACAUGCAAGUCGAGCGCAGCGGCGGACGGGGGAGUAAUGCCUAGGAAUUUGCCUGUUAGUGGGGGAUACCUCCCGGAAACGUGCCCUUAUACCGCAGACUUUCAGAUCAGUCUCGGUCGUAUUAGCUAGUGGGUGGGGUAAUGGCUUACCAAGGCGACGAUCCGUAACCGGCCUGAGAGGAUGAUCAGUCACACUGGAACUGAGACACGGUCCAGACUCCUACGGGAGGCAGCAGUGGGGAAUAUUGGGCAAUGGGCGAAAGCCUGAUCCAGCCAUGCCGCGUGAGUGAAGAAGGUCUUCGGAUUGUAAAGCACUGUAAGUAGGGAGGCGUUACCUAAAGAAUAAGCAACGGCUAACUACGUGCCAGCAGCCGCGGUAAUUC
rnacentral:rRNA from 1 species